ACGUACACUCCUACGGGAGGCAGCAGUGGGGAAUAUUGCACAAUGGGCGCAAGCCUGAUGCAGCCAUGCCGCGUGUAUGAAGAAGGCCUUCGGGUUGUAAAGUACUUUCAGCGGGGAGGAAGGCAAUACGGUUAAUAACCGUGUUGAUUGACGUUACCCGCAGAAGAAGCACCGGCUAACUCCGUGCCAGCAGCCGCGGUAAUACGGAGGGUGCAAGCGUUAAUCGGAAUUACUGGGCGUAAAGCGCACGCAGGCGGUCUGUCAAGUCGGAUGUGAAAUCCCCGGGCUCAACCUGGGAACUGCAUUCGAAACUGGCAGGCUUGAGUCUUGUAGAGGGGGGUAGAAUUCCAGGUGUAGCGGUGAAAUGCGUAGAGAUCUGGAGGAAUACCGGUGGCGAAGGCGGCCCCCUGGACAAAGACUGACGCUCAGGUGCGAAAGCGUGGGGAGCAAACAGGAUUAGAAACCCGGGUAGUCCCA
rnacentral:rRNA from 1 species